rnacentral:rRNA from 1 species
CAGCAGCAGCCGCGGUAAAACGGAGGAUCCGAGCGUUAUCCGGAAUUAUUGGGUUUAAAGGGUGCGUAGGCGGAUAGAUAAGUCGGUGGUGAAAGACGGUGGCUCAACCAUCGCAGUGCCGUUGAUACUGUUUAUCUUGAAUAUGGAUGAGGUAGGCGGAAUGUGGCAAGUAGCGGUGAAAUGCAUAGAUAUGCCACAGAACACCGAUUGCGAAGGCAGCUUACCAAGGCAAAAUUGACGCUGAGGCACGAAAGCGUGGGGAUCGAACAGGAUUAGAUACCCGCGUAGUCCCUGUCUCUUAUAC